GAAAUGCGAUACUUGGUGUGAAUUGCAGAAUCCCGUGAACCAUCGAGUCUUUGAACGCAAGUUGCGCCCGAAGCCGCUAGGCCGAGGGCACGUCUGCCUGGGUGUCACGCAACGUCGCCAGCGCCCGAUCCUCCGGGCGCGGCGGAUGAUGGCCUCCCGGGAGCCUCGCCUCCCGGCCGGCCGAAAAAGGGGCCCUACGUGACGGCCGCCACGAUCCACGGUGGUUGAGUGAGCAUUCGCUCGAGGCCAAGACGUGCGCGCGUCGUCCCACGGCGGGGGCCAGUCGGACGGGGCACAGCCCGCCCACUCGUAAGCGACCCCAGGUCAGGCGGGGCUACCCGCUGAGUUUAA
rnacentral:misc_RNA from 1 species